rnacentral:tRNA from 1 species
UGGCGAGUGGCCAAGUGGUAAGGCGCCUGUUUCUGGCACAGGAGAUCGAAGGUUCGACCCCUUCCUCGCCAGCCA